AGGAUCAUUACCGAGUGAGGGCCCUCUGGGUCCAACCUCCCACCCGUGUUUAUUUUACCUUGUUGCUUCGGCGGGCCCGCCUUAACUGGCCGCCGGGGGGCUUACGCCCCCGGGCCCGCGCCCGCCGAAGACACCCUCGAACUCUGUCUGAAGAUUGAAGUCUGAGUGAAAAUAUAAAUUAUUUAAAACUUUCAACAACGGAUCUCUUGGUUCCGGCAUCGAUGAAGAACGCAGCGAAAUGCGAUACGUAAUGUGAAUUGCAAAUUCAGUGAAUCAUCGAGUCUUUGAACGCACAUUGCGCCCCCUGGUAUUCCGGGGGGCAUGCCUGUCCGAGCGUCAUUGCUGCCCUCAAGCCCGGCUUGUGUGUUGGGCCCCGUCCCCCGAUCUCCGGGGGACGGGCCCGAAAGGCAGCGGCGGCACCGCGUCCGGUCCUCGAGCGUAUGGGGCUUUGUCACCCGCUCUGUAGGCCCGGCCGGCGCUUGCCGAUCAACCCAAAUUUUUAUCCAGGUUGACCUCGGAUCAGGUAGGGAUACCCGCUGAACUUAAGCAUAUCAAUA
rnacentral:rRNA from 1 species